AGCUUCCUGUAUCCAUGCUGAGAUUUAAUCGCACACUAAAUCACAAGGGUUGAUGAGACCUCCCAGAUAAGUGAAGCG
rnacentral:pre_miRNA from 1 species